AGCGGUGCGCGGUACCGGUAGCGGUGCGCGGUAACGGAGAGCUGCGUAUGGCAACGGGAGAAACCGUGCGCGGUAACGGGAGAGCUAAGAACGGUAACGGAAGGGAACGGUGCACGGUUAUGGAGAGUUAAGCACGGUAAUGGGGAACCGCGCACCCCGUGCACCGUGGGAGGACUGUGAGUCGUAACCGCGGAGGACCGUGCGCGGCAGCGAUGGGAACGCGGAACGCACCGAGGCCGGGAAAAACCGGGACGGAGCGGCGCGGGAGCAGCGCACGGCAGUCAGUAAUGGUGCGUGCACGGCCGCGGGGGUGGAAAACGGGAGAGAAUUGUUUCGGCUAAAAAAUAUAUCUGUAUAUAAUAGUAACAAUUGAAUAUAUAUAUAUUAAAGAU